rnacentral:ribozyme from 1 species
AGAUGAAUGAAUGAACAGACGAAUGAAUGAAUGAAAGGAUCAAUGGCGCUUUCACGACCCGUUACCAUAUUUUUUAUUCUGGAAUCACCAGACAGAUUGUCUAGUUUCUUUUCCUGUCCUUUUAUGCAGCACGUUUUUUUUUUUUUCCGACUUACAUACAGACCGACAAGACGGUUUGAC